ACAACUUUCAACAACGGAUCUCUUGGCUCUCGCAUCGAUGAAGAACGCAGCGAAAUGCGAUAAGUAAUGUGAAGUGCAGAAUUCAGUGAAUCAUCGAAUCUUUGAACGCACCUUGCGCCCCUUGGUAUUCCGAGGGGCAUGCCUGUUUGAGUGUCAUUA
rnacentral:rRNA from 1 species